UUCGCCGAUCUUUGUCGUGUUACGUGUAUGUGGUGAACGGAGCAUUGCGGAGACUGAGAAUUAUGUGGGCUGUUCGCUGUGUUGUGGCAUUCGGGCAAAGCAAGAUCGCGAUGAGACAUCACUGCAAAAGAUGCCAGAAAAAGUUUACAUCAUUGGACACAUUCUUCAAGCACACAUUAUAUCAUGAAACAUCAUCAAGAGGUGUUCCAUGCAGCGUUGUCGGCUGUGAGGCUGCAUUCAAAAAUUACAACUCAUUGCGAAGCCACAUCACAAGGUGUCAUUCUCCGCUUGCACCUCGUAAUGCAACUAACUUCCAAUCCUGCCGGACAUGCAGUGUUAGUUCCUGCAGUGAAGAGGUGUCUGUCUGGACGGAACAUUGAGCCUGCCCAAAGAUGUCCUCCUCCUCGUGACAUUCCUAUGUUCAAGCCCCAAAAAUGAUGCUGUGCUCGAGUGGAGCCUCAAAAUCAACAAGGCCGAGGCAGAGUUCAAAGAUCAAAACGCAGCAGCUGUCUGCCUCCUCCCAUUGCUUGCAUCCUACUUUCAAGAAAACCUCGGAGAGCUCUUCCAGUUACAUCAGGUGACAACAGAAAUCACAGAGGAGUUUCGUAACAGUCUGCCUGCUUCUCCUGUAAUUGUUGCACUGGGCCGCUCACUUUUCGAAUGCAGCUGCCAGCUGUUUGUGGACCAUGAGGUGAUGGUGGAAGAUGUGGGCUUUCUGCAAGCUGUGGAGCUCCUUUUCGCCCUUUAUUAUUGUUUAAACAUCCAGUAUGCCAAAGGUGCGGGAACCACACUUGAGUUCAUUCAGAGAUACCAGGUUGGUAUCAAACAACAUGAUGGGUCACGACAGGAGGCCGGGAGGUCGAAAGGAGCUCGGGCAAGAGCAAGCAAAGCCGCCACAGAUCUUGCUGCUUUUGAGAAAAAAAUGGAACGGUGUGAGUACAUAUUUGAUUUGGCAUGUGUACGAUGUGGUAUCAAAAGGUUUCCAGUCUUGUCUUGUAUUAAAAAGAAAAGCAAAUGGCGGCACAACACUGCAUUCACAGGGGUCGAGGG